rnacentral:misc_RNA from 1 species
GUAUAGAUUUUAUAUGGUCACAACAUUCUAUUAACAUACAUUGGGGUAAAUGAAGCAACAUAGACCUGAAAGGUCUACAAAAGGUGCACAGGUGGAGAUAUAAAGAUGACAAGGUGUGCACAUUGCUCCCUAGAGAACCAGCAACAACCCAUCAGGUUUAUUUCAAUAAUGAUCCUUCCGCAGGUUCACCUACGGAAA